rnacentral:lncRNA from 1 species
ACAGGAACCAAAGUUUUAUCAGAUAAAGUGGAAAGCAAAUCGAUAUAUUUCCCUUCUAGUUCUAUAAAACUCUUAAUCAAAAUAAUGUCGCAAGAUCGUUCGAAACAAGCGAUAAAAUCAUGAAGUAGCUUCAUGUUAUCUGCAGAAGGUGGUUCAGGGGUAUUAUUACUGUUAUCAUAAAAAUCUGGAAAUGGGUAUUUUUCACCUGGGUUUUUGAAAGCAUGUAGGCCAAUGGAAGAGCUGGCUGCUGCCGUGGUUAGGAAAUAAACUGCCGGAAUAUUGUGAGACGAAGCGAUCUCCGGUGCCCAUGAGGGAUUGAAAUCAUAAAUAAGCAAAUCGGGGUUUAAGGUUUUAAGGAUUUCAGAGAAGGUGGGGCCUGCUGUUUCAAAGGCGUUUAUGAGUGGGACCAUGAGAUGGGAAGGGAGGCCAUUUGUGGUGUGAUAGUGAGGAGGAAGAUCAGGGGAAGAUGGAAGAUGAAGCUCAACUAGUUUUAUAGAAGCAGAGGAAUCCUUAUUCUUGAUGGAGCUAAGAUUGAUUGGGGUAGAACAGAGGAAAACAUUGCAAUUUCUUUUUGCGAGUUGUUUGGCUAGCUCAAAGAAGGGAGAUAUGUGACCAUGGGCUAAAAAUGGUAGCAACGCUAUACUGAUUCUACCUUCUUGGUUAUCCAUGAAUGAACUCUGUUUGUUUCUCUCUCUCUUGCUGUAUAAUUUCAUUAGCCAAGGGUGUGUAUAUAAAUAAAAGAGUAAAAUAUAUUGACACCCCCCGUACAUAAUUAUAAUAACACUCACCAUUUUUUUAGUUUUUCAAGUAACAGUCAGUACCCCUCUAAUCUACAAUAUGUAACAUUCACCGCCUCUAGUAUGGUUGACCAACUAAUAUUUAAAAAUAUUUUUAAUAUAAUGUCUAAUACACCCUUCAAGUUAUAAUGUUUAAUUUCUCCACUAAAUAUAAAUUUGUAUAUCAUAAUUUUUAUUUUACUUGAUCUAAUUAAUUAAAUUAUGAAAUUGUGUAAUAAAUAACAUAAAAGUCAAAAAAUAAUAAAUAUUCAUUUUAUCAGGAAAAUAAAGUCAUGCAAUUUUUAUUAAUUAAAUUUCUCAAAUAUUAAAAUUUAUGUGAUAUAUAUUCAAAUAAUUUUUUUUAAUUAAAAAGUAUAAUAUUAAUACCCAUGAAAAUUACAAAUUAACGCAAUAAAAUUAUUAUUAUUAUUUUCAAAUAUUAAAAUUUACGUAAAACAAACUUAUUAUUACAAUUUAAACGAAUCUUAUUACUCAUAUAAAAAAGUAUUAAAAAUUAUAUUAAUUAUUUUUCUCAUAUAUUAAACUAAACAUAAGUCACACUUAAACAUAAUUAUUUACAGUAAAAAUGACAAAUGUUGUUACUUAAAAAAGAAAAGAAAAAAUAUAUGAAAAGAAUUUUUUUUUAAAAAGAUAGAGGUAGUAAUAAUAUAAUUAUAUUUUUUUAUUUAAUAUUACAUAAAAACAGCGUCAACUGUAUACUAAAAAAAUAUAAUCAAAAUCAUAAACAUCCCAAUUUUUUAUAUAUACUCAAUAAAAAUUAUAAUAUGAAAUAAAAUUCAAAUAAUAUUUUUUGUUGUUAAGUACCAAAAAUUAAACUAUCAAUAUACUCAAUCACUCUAAUUAGAAUAGCUUCAUUAAUAAUUUAAUUUUUUUAAAUAUUUAUAUCACUUAUCCAAAAAUAUGUGUUAGUUAAAGUAAAUUAAUUUUUUAUAAGUUACCAACAAUUUAAAUGAGAUAGUUUUAAUUAUAAAUAAAAUUAUAAUUAAAAUGUCUUGUAUUAAAAAAAAGGAUAAUUAAAUAUAUAUAUAUAUAUAUUAUUUAGUAAUUAAAAUUUGAUAAAAUACAAGGGUAAAUAUGUAAUUUUAUCUAUUUAGUCAAUCCUAAAAACUUGCAGAGGUACUAACUGUUAUUUAAAAAAUUAGAGGAGAGGUGAAUGUUAUUAUGAUUAUCUAGAGGGGAUGUCACUGUAUUUUAUUCUAAAUAAAAUAAGUGGACAAGGGGUAGCGCCGCCCAAGAAGACGAGAUUGAGAUUGGGAUUGGGAAUUGGAAAGAGUGGCCUAUAACUCUUGAUCCCAACACGUGUUAAACGUGAUUGGGAAAGACAGGCAUAUAAGUCUUGUUGUCCCAAUUGUGUGUUGAUCUUAAAACUUAAAACUUCGCGUGGCUGAAAUAAAUAAGCCACUGCAAUCAAAAAUCAAAACUAUGAUUCUAUUAUAAAGUCACGCCAUUUUAUUAAUUUUUUUUAUAAAUAUAUUAUUGAAUUUAUUAAGUAAAAUAAUUUUAAUAAGAAUAUAUUUUCUUUCAAAAAUUAUAAGUAUUAUUUAACUUAUAAUAAAAUUUUAUUUAUACUUAAACUUAAUUAAUUACAUUUGUAUUUUAAUUAAGGGUAAAAGUUCAAAUUAGGUAAUACUAUAUAUGUGGAAGAAAAAAAAUUGUCAAACUAUAUUAUCUAGGCUAUAAUAAAAUUUUAUUUAUUAAUGGUAAUAAUUAAUUUUCCAGAUAUAUGACCCAAAAAUGUAGCAAACUGCCACUGCCUAACCAUUAGAGGUCAUUCUCACCAAGGCACGACUCUAGAAGUUCGAAAUUCCAUAGACAAUCUAAACCACAAUUAUGCAUUGUAAAUAUCACAUAUUAAGCAUAAUUAAAAAUGGGAAAUAAAGUAAUUAAGUUGGAAGAUUCUGAACGGUCCUUGUUCUUUAUCAAUUAAAAGAUUUAAAAUGUUCUGUUUGAGUAUAUAGAUAUCCUGAAUUUUUAAUAUUUUUUCAUUUUAGGAUUGUCUUUUCAAUUUUUUCUAUUACAAGAUUAAAUUUUUAAUUUUUUUUUAUUACGUCUAAUUGAUAAUAUCAUGUCAGAAAAUUAAUGACAUAGUAGCGACACAUAACUAAAAAAAUACUUAUAUAUAUUAUUGAGUCUCAUUUUAAUAUUUAUUCAAAAAAAAAAAUAAAGGUGUAAAUUCGCAGUACCGUAAAUACCAUUUACUUAAAAUGAUGGAACCAAGUUGUUUAAAUUUUUACAUCAUUUAAAAAAAUAUCAUUGACCCUUGUUAUCCAUUUUCCAUCAUAACAUGGAAUCUCUCAUACAUGAUAUAACAAUUCUUAAUCACUUAUUUUUAAAUACAUUCAGAUCUAAUUUUCAUAUUUGUAUAAAAAAAUCUCCUUCAAUUUAAUUCAGCUCUCUACAUACUGCGCGUUAACUAUAAUUAAGACCUUUCAAAUUACUUUUAGAAGGUAAAAUAUCUAUAAAUAAAAUUAAAUACUCCACUACUUGUCUUAUUAUUGGGACGGUCUCAUCGUGAUUAGUGCCAAUUAUAUAUUACUAUUUUCGUUCUUAAGAGAUUGUCAUUUAAGAUUUUUACAUAUGAAUUAAAAAAUUACUGUAUAAUUUAUCAAGUAAAAUUUAUUUGAAAUUCCAUCACUACCUCUUUAUGGGAAAUUAAAAACUAUUAAUACAAAGAAGAGAAUUUUUUCGGACAAUGAGAGAAAGUAGAGAUAAUAUAGAAAAGUAAAUAAUUUAUUCUUCUCAAAAGUUAUAAACGACAAAUAUUUUAAAAUAUAUUUUUUUUAAAACGAUAAUCUUUUAACAACGGGAGGAGUAAUAUAAUUGGCAAGACAUUGUAGGCUUUUAGCAGCUUAAUUUAGUUUUAUUACAUACCAAACCAAUGAAAAUCAACCAUUCCUUGAUUUUCUUCACAACACAAAGUCCAAGUACACAAACCACUUUAAUUAUAGCAUACAAAGAAAGAGUUCAAAGCCCAACCUAAGCGCAUUCAAAAUGAUUUUAAAGGGAAAAAAAUUAGUCUAUUACUACUAUUGUUCAUCUUUCUUCUUCUUACAAAUUUGUACUAGCUCCUCCACUGCCCUAUCAAUCAAUUGCUCUCCUAUCUCUUUCAUUUUCUCACUCAAUUCCCUUGCUUUCCUCCUGAUAACCUCCCCACUUUUCUCCACCACGACUUUUCUUAUUACCCCUGCAAUAUCUUCUCUCUUAUACUUCCCAUUUUCAUCUCUCACAACCUCCAUGCCCACACCAACCUCCGCCGCCAGCUUAGCAUUCAAAGGCUGAUCAAAAUGCCUGGCCAUGGCAAUUACUGGAACCCCAAACUUCAUACUCUCCGUAAUAGAACUCCACCCACAAUGGCUCACAAACCCACCGGUGCUUGAAUGUCCUAAAAUUCUUGCCUGUGGAGCCUACCCCUCCACAACCAAUCCUCUGUCUCCUACCCUUUGAACAAACCCCUCUGGUAAAACCCCUUUUUUCUCUCCUUCAAUUAAUCUCACAGCCCAUAUGAAAUUAACCAUGCUAAUCUCUAGCCCAAUUGCUACUUCUUCCAAUUCCUCAUUGGAGAGAAAAUACUCACUUCCAAAGCAGACAAACACCACUGUAGAUUCAGCCCUUUUGUCAAGCCAGUUUAUAAACUGCUCUGUUUUUGGAUCUUCAUUAUGGCCCAUAGGAUCUUGAACGAGUGGACCAACAGGAACCAAAGUUUUAUCAGAUAAAGUAGAAUAAAAAUCAAAAUAUUUCCCUUCUAGUUCUCUAAAACUCUUAAUCAAAAUAAUGUCGCAAGAUCGUUCGAAACAAGUCAUAAAAUCAAGUAAUAACUUCAUGUUAUCUGCUGAAGGUGGUUCAGGGGUAAUAUUACUGUUAUCAUCAAAAUCUAGAAAUGGGUAUUUUUCACCUGGGUUUUUGAAACUAUGUAGGCUCAUGGAAAAGGAGGCUGCUCCCCCAAUUAUGAAACAAACUGCCGGAAUAUUGUGAGACGAAGCGAUCUCCGGUGCCCAUGAGGGAUUGAAAUCAUAAAUAAGCAAAUCAGGGUUUAAG